rnacentral:lncRNA from 1 species
AUGCGACCGGGAGUGACUCCUCCUGCAGCCCGAGCUUGCAUAACGCUAGGCGGGAUGCUGCAGGCUGGCGGAGGCGGCCGAGUCCCUGGUGCCCAGCGCCGCCCUCCGCGCUUGGGGCGUGGCCGCCACCCCUUUAUCAGCUACUCCAACGCGGGGACGCAGCAGACAGCUCUCUGCUCUGCUCUGGCCACAGGACCCAAAGUGGAAGGGGCUUGUCCAAGCCACCCAGGGCUUAUGUGGCUGAGCAAGGAGAUCCCAACGAAAAUAACAGAGCCAAUGCCAGGGCCAAUAUUGAGCAUCGAGCAGUGACAUUUUUUACAAGAGCCCAGUGGUAGCAUUUUUAGCCUCUGAGGAAAUCAGCUCAGAGAGGUUAAGGAACUCUCACAAGGUUACCAAGCUGGUAAGUUCCGGACCUAAGAUUCCAUGCCCACAUAAAACCCAGACGUUGGCUCCCCCAGAAUUUAGCAGUAGUCACCCACCCUUCAGGCAGUGUGGUGGCCUUUUGGCUGUCUUCCCUCCAUAGGCAUCUGGGUGGGUAAAACAGCAGAACAGGAAACCCGUCAUUCACUGUGUUCCCUGCUCUAUGGGGAUGGCCUGUGGGUUAGAAAGCACUGGGUGAAACCUGAGCAUGGGGGUGGGGGUGGGGGUCAAGGCUCACUUUCUCCAAAGCCCACUUUCUCCUGAUGACCUGCAGCCAGCCAGGAGGUACCAACCAAAAGGUAUGAGAACUCCAGGAGGAAUUAGGGUUGGAAGCCAUGGAAGAGAAGGUGAAGAGGGGGACCUGGGGCUUAGGAAAAGGGGAGCAUGAGUUAGUAGGCUGGGAGGAGGUGAGUGGGAGGACCAGAAUUCCCACUUCCUCUUGGCAACUUAUGCUCUGCCAGGCCAUGGCAUAGAUCUUUUUUUUUUUUUUUUUUUUUUUUUAGAUUUGUUUAUUAUGUAUACAGUGUUCUGGCUGCAUGUAUGUCUGUACACCAGAAGAGGGCACCAGAUCUCAUUACAGAUGGUUUUGAGCUACCAUGUGGUUCCUAGGAAUUGAUCUCAGGACCUCUGGAAGAGCAGUCAGUGAGUGCUCUUAACCUCUGAGCCAUCUCUCCAGACAGGGUUUCUUUACAAUUACAUGAAUCUCUGCAUGUAGUUUGUGCACACGUGAGUGCAGAUUCCAAUAGAGUUUAGAGGGCGUCAGAUCCCCUGGAGAUGGAGUCACAGGCAGUUGUGAGCCUGUGGGAACUGGGAACUGAACUCAGAGCCUCUGGGAAAGCAGCACACACUCUUAGCUCCUAAGGCAUCCCUUCAGCCCAAGGUCGUAUGC